rnacentral:lncRNA from 1 species
GGUAACUUCGAUCCUUUUCAAUUUUUUUGUGCUUGUUUGUAACUUUUUUUUUUAGAAGUAUCAAAAAUUUGAGUUAAGAUCAAUGGUUUAUUCAUUAGUUAUUGAGGUUUAAAUCUGUUAUAGGAAUUACUAGGAUUUGGUUUAGGAUUUGGUUAGGGUUUGGUUUAGGGUUUAGGAUUUGGAUUAGGGUUUGAUUUAGGAUUCAUGGUUUAUUUAGGAUUUAGGAUUUAGUUAGGAUUUGGUUUAGGAUUUAGGAUUUAGAUUAGGAUUUGGUUUAGGAUUUGGUUAUGGUUUUAUUUAGGGUUUGAUUUAGGAUUUAGGGUUUAUUUAGGAUUUGGGAUUUAGGAUUUAGGGUUUAGGAUUUGGAUUAAAGUUUGAUUAGAGUUUGAUUUAGGAUUUAGGGUUUGGAUUAGGAUUUGAUUAGGAUUCGGUUUAGGAUUUGGUUGUGGUUUGGUUUAAGAUUUGUUUAGGAUUUGAUUUAGGGUUUAGGAUUUUAUGAAGAUUUAAGAUUAAAUUAGUUUUGGCCUAAAGUUUGAAUGAAGUUCAAUAGGAUUUUAACUAGAAUUAAAUUAAGAUUGAAUUGAAAUGUAUUUGAGUGAUAUUUGUGAUCCUUCCAAUAUUUCUUUAAGAAUUCUUAUUGUUUGUUUGAAAUUUCUUGAGGUUUUUUUUAAUUUGAUUGAAGCUUGCUUAGUAUUAUUAUGAUCUAAUUAGAGUUUAAUUGGUAUUCUAUUAGAAUCAGGAUUUUGUUGUUGCAAUUUCCAUUCUUCCUUCUACAAUCAGGUACCCGGAGCAUUCUCAAGCAAGACUUCACGUAUUAUGACACCGUCAUAGAU